AUGCUGUGUCUGGGAAUGGACUCGGGUGUAAGUAUAGAAAACAUCAGAAUAGUUUUGGAGCUGCAUGUAAUGAAUUGACCUCUGUAUUGGUAAAUGCCUAGAUGCUGUCAUGACAAGCAAGCUGUAAGACAGGAGUUCUGCCAUGGACCUCGAUUCUGGUGACAGGUACCAAAACCAGUAACAAAUCCAAAGGCUGCCCCAGCUGAUGGAGUGCAGGAGAAGGGCGAUGCCGCUGCUGCAGCUCAAGGGAGCUGGGACAAGCAACCAGCCAGGGAAGAGCCCAGCUUUACAGGAGCACAAAAUGAUGGUGUGAGUUUCAGCACAGAGCGCAAAAUUAAGAUUUCUGCUGGCACUGGAAGGUCACCUAGUAAUGCUCCCCCCAACCCUGCUCAGAGGAGGCUGAAAACAGGGAGGGUAAAGAGCUCAAGAAGAAGCUGCUGAGCAGCCUGGCUCAAACAUCUGCAUGUGUUUGCUUCUUCAGGGCUUCUUGCAGAAACAGCAGGGAGCACAGCACUGCUCCAUCUGCCAGCCUUGUGGCACAUCAGGGCUCACAUAUGUUGCAAGAGGGCAGCUUGCUCACUCUGCAGAGCCUGAGAGAAUCAGCAAGGACAGCAAAGGAGGCAGAACAACAUUUGCAGAUGGUGUCACAAUGCCUCCCAGCCCUCCAGAGGCUGAGCUGGGCUAGGAUUGUUUAGAAUGUUUCCUGCCAUGCUGUUUGUGUCUGUCCACCUCCACCUCAGGAUGUCAGCACACAACUACUGACAUGCACCCAGAGGACAAGGAAUGGUUUCUCCAAGGCUAAGCUGCAGGGACUGGACCUCUGCAACUGCCUGCCGGAGGUGGAAGGGCAUCAGAAAUAGAAACUAACUCUGUCAGAUGGUCAGGGAUGAAAGGAGGCACAAUGUUGCUUUUAAAGACACUGGUAAAAGAGGAAAAGAAAUAAAGCUGAAUAAAAUACUCAGCAUGGUGGUAU